rnacentral:rRNA from 1 species
UACAGAGGGGGCAAGCGUUGUUCGGAAUUACUGGGCGUAAAGGGCGCGUAGGUGGCCUUCUAAGUUGAACGUGAAAUCCCUGGGCUCAACCCAGGAACUGCGUCCAAGACUGGGAGGCUUGAAUCCGGGAGAGGGAUGCGGAAUUCCAGGUGUAGCGGUGAAAUGCGUAGAUAUCUGGAGGAACACCGGUGGCGAAGGCGGCAUCCUGGACCGGUAUUGACACUGAGGCGCGAAAGCCAGGGGAGCAAACGGGAUUAGAUACCCCGGUAGUCCUGGCCCUAAACGAUGAAUGCUUGGUGUGGCGGGUAUCGAUCCCUGCCGUGCCGAAGCUAACGCAUUAAGCAUUCCGCCUGGGGAGUACGGUCGCAAGGCUG